rnacentral:rRNA from 1 species
ACGGCGAGUGAAGCGGCAACAGCUCGAAUUUGAAAUCUGGCCUCGGCCCGAGUUGUAAUCUGUAGAGGAUGCUUUUGGCGCGGUGCCUUCCGAGUGCCCUGGAACGGGACGCCACAGAGGGUGAGAGCCCCGUAUGGUCGGACACCAAGCCUGUGUAAAGCUCCUUCGACGAGUCGGGUAGCUUGGGAAUGCUGCUCUAAGUGGGAGGUAAACUUCUUCUAAAGCUAAAUACUGGCCAGAGACCGAUAGCGCACAAGUAGAGUGAUCGAAAGAUGAAAAGCACUUUGAAAAGAGGGUCAAAUAGUACGUGAAAUUGUUGAAAGGGAAGCGCUCAUGACCAGACUUGCGCCGGGCUGAUCAUCCAGUGGCCUCCACUGGUGCACUCUGCCCGGCUCAGGCCAGCGUCGGCUGUCACGGGGGGACAAAAGCACUGGGAAAGUAGCUCUCUCCGGGGAGUGUUAUAGCCCUAUGCAGAAUACCCCCGCGGCGGCCGAGGUCCGCGCUCUGCAAGAACGC